AGGAGUAUAGCUCAAUUGGUAGAGCGUCGGUCUCCAAAACCGAAGGUUGUGGGUUCGAUUCCUACUGCUCCUG
rnacentral:tRNA from 1 species